CGCGGCCUAUCAGCUUGUUGGUGGGGUAACGGCCUACCAAGGCGACGACGGGUAGCCGGCCUGAGAGGGCGACCGGCCACACUGGGACUGAGACACGGCCCAGACUCCUACGGGAGGCAGCAGUGGGGAAUAUUGCACAAUGGGCGAAAGCCUGAUGCAGCGACGCCGCGUGAGGGAUGACGGCCUUCGGGUUGUAAACCUCUUUCAGCAGGGAAGAAGCGAAAGUGACGGUACCUGCAGAAGAAGCGCCGGCUAACUACGUGCCAGCAGCCGCGGUAAUACGUAGGGCGCAAGCGUUGUCCGGAAUUAUUGGGCGUAAAGAGCUCGUAGGCGGCUUGUCACGUCGGAUGUGAAAGCCCGGGGCUUAACCCCGGGUCUGCAUUCGAUACGGGCAGGCUAGAGUGUGGUAGGGGAGAUCGGAAUUCCUGGUGUAGCGGUGAAAUGCGCAGAUAUCAGGAGGAACACCGGUGGCGAAGGCGGAUCUCUGGGCCAUUACUGACGCUGAGGAGCGAAAGCGUGGGGAGCGAACAGGAUUAGAUACCCUGGUAGUCCACGCCGUAAACGUUGGGAACUAGGUGUUGGCGACAUUCCACGUCGUCGGUGCCGCAGCUAACGCAUUAAGUUCCCCGCCUGGGGAGUACGG
rnacentral:rRNA from 1 species